UUGAAUAGGAAAUCUGAAGAAGUAGGAAUGCAACAUUUAUGGUUCUUCUUCUGUUUUCUUCAUCUUGGCCAUACGACUGACCUUGAUAAGAAAUGCGGUGAACACAGUUGUUGUUCAGGGUUCUAUUUUGAUUCGUCUGGGGAUUGUGUAGCUUGCCUACUGGGAUAUUAUGGAGUAAAUUGUUCUUUUCCCUGUCCGAACGGUUACUAUGGAGACAGAUGUCGAAAAAUUUGUGGUUGCCCUCAAGAAAUGUGCAAUGCAACAUUUGGCUGCAAAAGAUCGUUUGAUGUGAAUUACCUAGACCCAGUAACACUUCCAACGAUAAUCGUUACCGUCCUUGGGCUUCUCGUUUUGUUCAUCCUUUUCGGGACUCUCAUAGUGUUAAAAAUGAGACAAAAUACACAACUGGAAAACUCGCAAGUAAAGUUAAAAACCAGUGACGUCACAUCGCCUUACGAGAACGACUUACCAGUGGCAGACCUGUGUGGUCCGGUCGAUUUUCCUCCAUUUCAAGAAAAUAAAAACGUCACCGACUCACAAGAAAAAAUUCCUAUGUAUGACACAUGUUUUUGAUACAUGGAUAAGAUGUACAAAAUGGGAUAUUUAAAUAAAUGAUUUGUAGGAAGUAGAAUUAUUCAUACAUUUUAACUAGUUUUGUAUUUUUUACGUCAAGCGGUGUUACAUGUAUUAAACAUCAUGAAACAU
rnacentral:misc_RNA from 1 species